AUGUUUAUGACGCAGCAUCUGCUGUGGGCCCUACUGAUCCAUGUAACAGGUACCUUGGCUGAUCCUGUCCUCAAUCAGAGUCCAGUGUCCGACCCAGUCUCUGCCGGUCAGACUGUCCAGUUGAAGUGUGCAAUGCAGAAUGAUGAUGUGGACAGCUACGAUGUGGACUGGUACCGACAGAGUCCCGGAGAAGCGCCAGUGUGGGUGAUCAGACAUGAAACGGAUGAUGAUAUAUACAGGGGCACUGGCUUCACAACCUUCUCGAGACACCUCCAGUAACAAUUUCAUCCUAACCAUUGAAAAUCUGGUCUCCAGUGACUCUGCCAUCUAUUAUUGUGCUGUGUGGGAUAGCUCAGCUGGUUAUCACAGUGGGACUGCCCUAGCUGUUCGGAGUAGUGAUGAUUGGAAAUCUUCUGUACUUCUGUUCCCUCCUUCGUCGGCACUAGUAGACAUGGGAUCAGCCACUCUGUCCAGUCUGGUGAGUCGUUUUAAGCCGGGCUAUCUGCAGGUGCUCUGGAGCGUGGAUGAGAAAGAGACAGACAACGAGGUGACCUCAAGUGCGGAAUCGCCGGAUAGUGAUCAUACCUGACAAUCCCAGCCACUGACUGGAAGAAAGACUUCUCAUAGUCCUGCAGUGUGAGACACGGUUCACUGGACUUCACUCUCUUCAACGCCAUCAGCUCCAGCGACUGUUAGCUCUGAGACAAACAAUGUCACGGGUCAGUCACUGUGUGUCAUGCGGUGGUUUGUUCUUUGUUUGUGUUUUGCAUUGCAAUUUCUUCAGCAAUGUCAGUAUUUGGUGAACAAUAUUGGGUGAAUAUUGAAAGAUGGUGAAAUGAUUGCUCCUAUCAAUGAGUGGGGAUUUCCCGCUGCAAUUGCCUCCAGCAUUUUGCGAGCAAACUGUCAUUCUGGGUACAAUGGGGAGCAAUCACAGCUUUUUCAACAACGGCCAUGCUGCAUUUGUCAACUUUAUAAACCCAGUUCUGAAUAAAGAUAACA